rnacentral:piRNA from 1 species
UGUACUCAAUAUUUGUUGUGUUUGAAGGGA